rnacentral:rRNA from 1 species
GAUGAACGCUGGCGGCGUGCCUAAUACAUGCAAGUCGAGCGAACGGACGAGAAGCUUGCCUCUCUGAUGUUAGCGGCGGACGGGUGAGUAACACGUGGAUAACCUACCUAUCAGACUGGGAUAACUUCGGGAAACCGGAUCUAAUACCGGGUAAUAUUUUAAACCGCAUGGUUCAAAAGUGUAAGACGGUCUUGUUGUCACUUAUAGAUGUAUCCGCGCUGCAUUAGCUAGUUGGUAAGGUAACGGCUUACCAAGGCAACGAUGCAUAGCCGACCUGAGAGGGUGAUCGGCCACACUGGAACUGAGACACGGUCCAGACUCCUACGGGAGGCAGCAGUAGGGAAUCUUCCGCAAUGGGCGAAAGCCUGACGGAGCAACGCCGCGUGAGUGAUGAAGGUCUUCGGAUCGUAAAACUCUGUUAUUAGGGAAGAACAUAUGUGUAAGUAACUGUGCACAUCUUGACGGUACCUAAUCAGAAAGCCACGGCUAACUACGUG